rnacentral:rRNA from 1 species
UACGUAGGGGGCGAGCGUUGUCCGGAGUUACUGGGCGUAAAGCGCACGCAGGCGGUCUGCUAAGUUUGGAGUGACAAUUGGUGGCUUAACUGCCAAAGUGCUUCGAAAACUGACAGACUUGAGGGCUUCAGAGGGACACGGAAUUCCGGGUGGAGUGGUGAAAUGCGUAGAGAUCCGGAGGAACACCAAAGGCGAAGGCAGUGUCCUGGGGAGUACCUGACGCUCAGGUGCGAAAGCCAGGGGAGCGAACGGG